rnacentral:rRNA from 1 species
AACGAACGCUGGCGGCAUGCCUAACACAUGCAAGUCGAACGAGACCUUCGGGUCUAGUGGCGCACGGGUGCGUAACGCGUGGGAACCUGCCUUUAGGGUCGGAAUAACUCAGAGAAAUUUGAGCUAAUACCGGAUGAUGUCUUCGGACCAAAGAUUUAUCGCCUUUAGAUGGGCCCGCGUUGGAUUAGCUAGUUGGUGGGGUAAAGGCCUACCAAGGCGACGAUCCAUAGCUGGUCUGAGAGGAUGAUCAGCCACACUGGGACUGAGACACGGCCCAGACUCCUACGGGAGGCAGCAGUGGGGAAUAUUGGACAAUGGGCGAAAGCCUGAUCCAGCAAUGCCGCGUGAGUGAUGAAGGCCUUAGGGUUGUAAAGCUCUUUUACCCGAGAUGAUAAUGACAGUAUCGGGAGAAUAAGCUCCGGCUAACUCCGUG